rnacentral:rRNA from 1 species
UAGGGAAUCUUCCACAAUGGACGCAAGUCUGAUGGAGCAACGCCGCGUGAGUGAAGAAGGUUUUCGGACCGUAAAGCUCUGUUGUUGGUGAAGAAGGAUAGAGGUAGUAACUGGCCUUUAUUUGACGGUAAUCAACCAGAAAGUCACGGCUAACUACGUGCCAGCAGCCGCGGUAAUCGUAGGUGGCAAGCGUUGUCCGGAUUUAUUGGG